rnacentral:misc_RNA from 1 species
CGCUGCCAAGUCAUCUGUCCU